CAGCCCGCCAUGCCGCCGCCCCGCCCCAAGCCCAAACCCUUCCGGGCCGCCGCGGAAGGCAGAUGGCGGGCGGGAGGCGCUGGGCGGGGCGGGGCGCUGCGGCUCCUGUCAGCUCCGGGUUGCCCGUGUGAGGCCGGGAGCCGAGGGGAAGCGGCAUCAGUCGCCGUUGCUGGCUGCUGUCCCGCUUGGGUUCUUUUUUUUUUUAAGCCUGUGUCCCCGUUUUGCUUCGCCGCUGUGGUGUCUGUGUGCGCCCGGCUGGGUCUGUGUGGCGAAAUUUGGCGUUCGCCCCCAUAAUUCUGACCCAGAAAACCACCCACAGCGUUCACGCUUGAUUUCCUGCCCUUGUGUUUACUUCUUGCCCUCCUCCAAGGCAGGCAGUGUGAGCAGAAGCACAUCCCCCAAGCACGCCGUCCCACUGGUGUCCCCCUCCCUGGAGCCAACUCCUCACCUCCACCGACACAGGGACCGCUGGGUCUUCCCCUUCUCUCCCUGGCAUCAAAAGCAUCAACCCCACAGGGGUACUGCUAAAUUUGUGUGUCCUAGUGGGGCCCACCAGUACCUCAUGUCAGUACCUUUGCUCCGACAAAGACUUCUAUGCUGGCAGGAGCAAGGGGUCUCAAACUGUGACAAGCGAUACUUCCCAAUUUCUAAGCACCGUGACAACCCUACAGUGGUGCCCACCCUACCAAAGUCCUCAGGGAGUAGCAAAAUACUAUUUAUCCCCAUUUUAAAGUUGGGGAACCAAGGCACACAGCGAGAUUAAGUGACUGCCGAGUCGUGAUGGAUGUUUCCAGCCAGAGAAGAGGGCUCCCUCGAUGCUCGCUAGCCUUGCUGCCACGGUUUGGUGCUUUUCUUAUCUAGCACGCUGCACAGCUGAAGUGGCUGAGGAUUUCGUGUGCCAGCAAUUCGCAAGUAAUAUGUUUCUGGAGAGAAAAAGUUUAAUGCUGUACUUCUCUUCACCUUCUUUUGGACAUGAUGCAACAUCAAAACUUUUUUUUUUUUUUCUUUUCUCUUUUU
rnacentral:lncRNA from 1 species